rnacentral:lncRNA from 1 species
AGAAGCUAGGUUUGUUCCUUGCUUAGAGGGUAGGAAACUGGCGUGAAUCAUCAGAGGGGCAGUUUCACAUAAGGGUAGCAUUAGAAUGUUAUGGUAGAGGCUGUGGGAAGAUGGGAGUGUUUUAGACUUCCAACAUGAUGCAAUCAUCAGUAUCACCUGGGCGUUUUUUAGAAAAGGCCAACUCGGGCCCCUCAGAACUCCUGAAUCAGAUCCUGCAUUUUGACAGUAUUCCCAAGUCUUGUUAAAAUUUGAUUACUGCUGUAGGCACUAUUCUCUCUAAAUCUCCCCUCCCCGUCCCCUUUUAUUCAUAUUGAAACUGUUAACGUGCAGUUUAGGAAAGAGGAUAAUGUGGGAGUCCCUAUUAAAAUUUGAAAUGUACAAAUCCUGUAACCCAUUGAUUGUGCGACUCAGAAUCACACCAGAGAAACAAGUAAAUGUGUGCUGGUUAUUGUUUCUUGUCCACGCAGUCACCCUUUUAUACUCAACUCCAUGUUACUGGGGGGGCUUCUGCUAGAUUCCACCAACAGGACGAACAAGAGGGAAACAAAGGCAAGAGGAAGAAGGGACUUGCUCCAUUCUGUAAGCAUCAUGCCAGCAGCAGCUGCAUUUUACCGUGGCAGGAGCAAUUGCUUUAGCCAAAAGGUGGUUUUAAUCUCUAUCCUUUUUCCAACAAUCACAGAAUCAGCCUUAUUGCACCCCUCAGAGAUCACAGCAGCAGUCAGUGCUCUCCUCAGAGAUCUGAAUUCUACUUUCAUGCGGCCCCUCCCCUGAGCUCCUGAGAUAGCCAAUGUUUGAGCCACCUCCUCAGAAGUUUGAGCCUCAACACCGUGGGAUCCCUUCUUUGUGCUCCAGAGAUCCAGUAACAGCCAGCCAUCACCCUCUCUUCAUUCUUCAUAGGCCUGAACUAAGGUGUUCAGGGCCCUCCUUCAAGCUUUUAGGUUCUGAUGACUCCAACCACUUCUUUUGUUCCAUCCUUUCCUAGCUCUAGGAAUGGUAGCUGCUACCUGCAGUGAUUACCUGUUACCUUUUAUAAUUCCUUUUGACCAAUUUCCCAUAUUAAAAUAUUUCUCAAUAACUAAUGUGAUUUCUGUUUUCCUGACUGGACCCUGAUUUUAAAAUGCACACAAAAGCCAGGUGCAGUGGCUUAUGCCUGUAAUCCCACCACUGUGGGAGGCCGAGGCAGGUGGAUCACCUGAAGUCAGGAGUUCGAGACCAGCCUGGCCAACAUGGCAAAAACCCAUCGCUACUAAAAAUACGAAAAUUAGCUGGGCAGUGGUGGCAGGUGCCUGCAAUCCCAGCUACUUGGAAGGCUGAGGC